rnacentral:rRNA from 1 species
CGCCUGGGGAGUGCGGCCGCAAGGCUAAAACUCAAAGGAAUUGACGGGGGCCCGCACAAGCGGCGGAGCAUGUGGAUUAAUUCGAUGCAACGCGAAGAACCUUACCUGGGCUUGACAUACACCAGAUUGGGCUAGAGAUAGUUCGUCCCUUUGUGGUUGGUGUACAGGUGGUGCAUGGUUGUCGUCAGCUCGUGUCGUGAGAUGUUGGGUUAAGUCCCGCAACGAGCGCAACCCUUGUCUUAUGUUGCCAGCAUUUGGUUGGGGACUCAUGAGAGACUGCCGGGGUUAACUCGGAGGAAGGUGGGGAUGACGUCAAAUCAUCAUGCCCCUUAUGUCCAGGGCUUCACACAUGCUACAAUGGUCGGUACAACGCGCUGCGACACCGUGAGGUGGAGCGAAUCGCUGAAAGCCGGCCUUAGUUCGGAUUGGGGUCUGCAACUCGACCCCAUGAAGUCGGAGUCGCUAGUAAUCGCAGAUCAGCAAUGCUGCGGUGAAUACGUUCCCGGGCCUUGUACACACCGCCCGUCACGUCAUGAAAGUUGGUAACACCCGAAGCCGGUGGCCUAAACGUGUUAGGGAGCCGUCGAAGGUGGGAUCGGCGAUUGGGACGAAGUCGUAACAAGGUAACCGUA